rnacentral:lncRNA from 1 species
CUUGCUCGUCCCUCUCUCAUGAAAAUGCUCUCUCCUCUCUCGGCGGCUUUGACUCAUGUCUAUAGCCAGUUGCUAAGACGAUUCCCAUUCAAGCAUUCUCAUUCAACGAUCUAUCAAUGCUGCCCCUAUCCUUAUUCUUUCUUUUUUUCAAAAUUCCUUUCUUUCUACUAGUUCUUACAUAAGCAAUUUGCAGGAAGUAAACGAAUCCUUCCGAACAACUAUAAAUAGCUUUAGCAUCUUUUUUUUGAGUUGAAAAGGUCUUUAUAGAGCUAAGGGGAAGGGAACCCUAGUAGCAGAAUGGAAUCAGUUUACCGGGCUGACUUCCAUGCCAACACGAGUAGUUU